rnacentral:rRNA from 1 species
UGGGGAAUAUUGGACAAUGGGCGCAAGCCUGAUCCAGCCAUACCGCGUGGGUGAAGAAGGCCUUCGGGUUGUAAAGCCCUUUUGUUGGGAAAGAAAUCCAGCUGGCUAAUACCCGGUUGGGAUGACGGUACCCAAAGAAUAAGCACCGGCUAACUUCGUGCCAGCAGCCGCGGUAAUACGAAGGGUGCAAGCGUUACUCGGAAUUACUGGGCGUAAAGCGUGCGUAGGUGGUCGUUUAAGUCCGUUGUGAAAGCCCUGGGCUCAACCUGGGAACUGCAGUGGAUACUGGGCGACUAGAGUGUGGUAGAGGGUAGCGGAAUUCCUGGUGUAGCAGUGAAAUGCGUAGAGAUCAGGAGGAACAUCCAUGGCGAAGGCAGCUACCUGGACCAACACUGACACUGAGGCACGAAA